GUGCUUGCUUCGGCAGCACAUAUACGAACAUUUGGAACGAUACGGAGAAGAUUAGCGUAGCCCCUGUGCAAGGAUGACGCUCAAAGAAUGACUCAUCUCCACCUGAC